rnacentral:rRNA from 1 species
GGAUCCAGACUUUGAUUAUGGCUCAUGAUGAACGCUAGCUACAGGCUUAACACAUGCAAGUCGAGGGGAAACGACAUCGAAAGCUUGCUUUUGAUGGGCGUCGACCGGCGCACGGGUGAGUAACGCGUAUCCAACCUGCCCACCACUUGGGGAUAACCUUGCGAAAGUAAGACUAAUACCCAAUGACGUCUCUAGAAGACAUCUGAAGGAGAUUAAAGAUUUAUCGGUGAUGGAUGGGGAUGCGUCUGAUUAGCUUGUUGGCGGGGUAACGGCCCACCAAGGCGACGAUCAGUAGGGGUUCUGAGAGGAAGGUCCCCCACAUUGGAACUGAGACACGGUCCAAACUCCUACGGGAGGCAGCAGUGAGGAAUAUUGGUCAAUGGGCGAGAGCCUGAACCAGCCAAGUAGCGUGCAGGAUGACGGCCCUAUGGGUUGUAAACUGCUUUUAUAAGGGAAUAAAGUGAGUCUCGUGAGACUUUUUGCAUGUACCUUAUGAAUAAGGACCGGCUAAUUCCGUGCCAGCAGCCGCGGUAAUACGGAAGGUCCGGGCGUUAUCCGGAUUUAUUGGGUUUAAAGGGAGCGUAGGCCGGAGAUUAAGCGUGUUGUGAAAUGUAGACGCUCAACGUCUGCACUGCAGCGCGAACUGGUUUCCUUGAGUACGCACAAAGUGGGCGGAAUUCGUGGUGUAGCGGUGAAAUGCUUAGAUAUCACGAAGAACUCCGAUUGCGAAGGCAGCUCACUGGAGCGCAACUGACGCUGAAGCUCGAAAGUGCGGGUAUCGAACAGGAUUAGAUACCCUGGUAGUCCGCACGGUAAACGAUGGAUGCCCGCUGUUGGUCUGAAUAGGUCAGCGGCCAAGCGAAAGCAUUAAGCAUCCCACCUGGGGAGUACGCCGGCAACGGUGCAACUCAAAUGAAUUGACGG